rnacentral:lncRNA from 1 species
UGGUCUCCAUUGUGGAUCUUGGUAAACAACUCCUUAUUAGGAAGAGUUGGCGCGCUGUCCCUCAGCACCCUAUGAAAAAACCCCGCGUAGCAGCUUUGGAUUGGACUUGAGUAAGCUUUAUUAGGCUAUGCUUGGGCGCUCGGCGGGGGGUCGCUAGAAGAUGAUACAUGAAUCAAGGCCUGAAUAAACUGCUGAAAAAAGAAUCCUGUGUCGUGUUUUCCCUUGCCGGCGAGGGGUCGCGACAAUUGGUGGCCCGGACAGGGAAUUAUAUUCAUCGAACCCAGGAUCCAGAACUUUCAGCAGUCAGGGUGGUGCACCGGUAAGUUCCCAGGUAAAGUGGGAAUCCGCAAGCUAAUAGCGGGACGCUCCUCGGUAAAGAAAGAGAGAGCGGGAAAAAGGACGCUCCCCUGUAAAUAAGGAGAGAGCGGGGCUUUUGUACUUUCACUUUCUUUAUAGCUCUAAAAACAUUAUGGGCGCUACCUCUUCAAGCCCAAUUUUGUUGGCCCUAGAUGGGUUGCUACGUUCAAAAGGACUUAAGGUAAAGCAGAGCACUUUGCAGAUGUUUUUGAGAGAAGCUGCCGGGGCCGCGGCCGCGGUCUGGGCAUGAGGAUGGCGGUGGGCUCAGUCAAGAUGCAGCCGCCGUGCGAGAACCCGGCCCUGGCCGCGGCGGUGGCGGCGGCAGACAGCGCUCUGCGCCGCAGUCCUAGCGCCCGCGAGCCGGAGCGCGAGCAGCCGCCGGCGUCGCUGCGGCCACGGCUGAAGGACCUGCCUGCACUGCUGCGGAGCGGGCUCACGCUGCAGAGAAAGCGGAGCGCCGCCGGGGGCCGGGACCGGACGGAGCUGGUGUGGGUUCCAGAACGCCUGACAAGAAGAGGCCCGACAAAUACAUCUGAGUUAAAUAUAACCACUUUGGCCAUUACUUCCCAGGUGUUAAUUCCGUUGUCUCCUUCUAAUGAGACCUCUAAUGCCACUCAUUUUAAGGCUUCUCCUUAUUGCACCCCUGAGUAUGGCUUCCCUGCUAUAUUUACACCUUGUCAAGAUCACUCUUGGGAGAAACAUCAGGUCGCCAAAGGUUUUUCCCUUUCCCCCUCUUUCAAAAGGUACUUGUAUAAUUCUUCCAACAAUAAUUCCUCUAUAGGAGCGGGUUGGUCCUGGUUUCAAUGGUUGAUUUCCAAUGAAAAGGGGGCCACAGCCGACAUCUCCGCUUUGGCUCAAUUACGAGGAGUCCAAAGUUGGCUGUUUAAUGUUUCUGGCAGUAGUACCCAAGAUUCGGUGUGGGGUAGGAGACUCAAAAAUAUUUCACACAAUGCACAAUUAAGUAAUGCAACAUUACCCUCUGCAGCAGUCUGUCUCCAAUCUCCGUUCCUGUUUCUUUUGGCUAAUGUUACAUCACAGGGGAUGCUUAAUUGUUCUAAUACUACCUGUUACUUGUCUGAGUGUUGGAAUGGAUCCUGGCCUAUGGCAGUGGUUAUGAAAAUUCCAACUUUUGUCCCGAUCCCAGUUACUGCGGAUCCAGAGUCAUUUCCUAUUGUUAAACUGAUUAGAGCCCAUAGAGAUUUUGGAAUUAUGGCAGCUAUAGUGACAGCUGUGGCAGUGUCUGCUGCUGCAACAGUUACAGCUGGAGUAGCCAUGGCCAGCCAGGUUCAAACUGCUGCCACUAUUAAUCAGGUUAUUCAACAAACAUCCACCAUACUUAAAUCUCAAAGUAGAAUUAAUCAACACAUUCUAUCUGGGAUUUUGGCUGCUAAUCAAAGGAUAGAUCUGCUUCAAGCUCAAGUUGAGGAAUUGUCAGACCUAGUACAUUUGGGUUGUGUUGAUCAUCGUGCACAUCUAUGUAUAACAUCUCUCAGAUUUAAUGAUUCCAGAAAUACCUCUCAAAUCAUCGGACAGUACCUGGCUGGAAACUGGUCCAUGGAAGCAGAGAAGUUGAUCCAGACCCAACUGACACAAAUUGCCAUGUUGAACAACACUCAUGUGGACCCUGUGACAUUGGGCCAAUUUACGAAUUGGUUGUCUUCUGCUUUUUCUUUCUUUAAGGAAUGGGUGGGAGUAGGCAUUUUUGGAGCGAUGUGUUGUUUUGGGGUUGUCCUUUGUCUGUGGCUUUUCUGUCGCCUAAGAGCUCGACAUAGCCAAGAAAAGGCUAUGAUCGUCCAGGCUUUUGCAGCCCUAGAGAAUGGUAUCUCUCCACAAGUUUGGCUUGCGCAACUUAAGCAAUAAUUUCCUGGGUUUUGGCCAUUGCACCCCAAGUUAUCUUUGACAUUGCACUGGGAUUGGCAUGCCCUCCUCUUCCUGCUUUCCCAGUUAUGGAAGGCCCAUGCACUCUGCAGGCCUUGUUGCCAUUGCACGCAGGUGGGCUUCCAUGCUGGCGCUGCACUUUAUGCUUUGGACCCUUCGUUUUCUCAGGGGCUGAGAGAUGGUGUUGCCACUUCCAACCUCAUAGUCACUGACCGGCUACUUGUAAAAUCCCCCUUCCUUUUCGCCGUCAUCACGAUGCAGGAUGCGAGGCAAGGCACUGCACUUGAGUGAUCCGAUCUCCGGACCUCAAGGGAAGCAUGUCCUAUUGCAUACGGGUUUGGCGUCCACACCCCGUCCCACGAAAAAAGGCGUCGGCUGAUAUGGUGUCAGAUCUAGGGAAGGCGCCUCCUUAGGACUGAGCCAUACAUUGCAGCCAUGUUUGCACAGUGGGAUAGGACCUCUACUUUCGCCUGCAUUGUUUUUUAAGAGAUAAGGGGAAACUGUGGUGAGCCGUGUUUGUAGACCGCUGCCGCCAUUAGAAGAUGGCGCCGGUCUCCAUUGUGGAUCUUGGUAAACAACUCCUUAUUAGGAAGAGUUGGCGCGCUGUCCCUCAGCACCCUAUGAAAAAACCCCGCGUAGCAGCUUUGGAUUGGACUUGAGUAAGCUUUAUUAGGCUAUGCUUGGGCGCUCGGCGGGGGGUCGCUAGAAGAUGAUACAUGAAUCAAGGCCUGAAUAAACUGCUGAAAAAAG